GGUAGCGUGGCCAAGGGGUCUAAGGCGCUGGAUUUAGGCUCCAGUCUCGAAUCGGUUCGAAUCCCACCGCUGCCA
rnacentral:tRNA from 1 species